rnacentral:rRNA from 1 species
GACGAACGCUGGCGGCGUGCCUAAUACAUGCAAGUAGAACGCUGAAGAGAGGAGCUUGCUCUUCUUGGAUGAGUUGCGAACGGGUGAGUAACGCGUAGGUAACCUGCCUUGUAGCGGGGGAUAACUAUUGGAAACGAUAGCUAAUACCGCAUAACAAUGGAUGACACAUGUCAUUUAUUUGAAAGGGGCAAUUGCUCCACUACAAGAUGGACCUGCGUUGUAUUAGCUAGUAGGUGAGGUAACGGCUCACCUAGGCGACGAUACAUAGCCGACCUGAGAGGGUGAUCGGCCACACUGGGACUGAGACACGGCCCAGACUCCUACGGGAGGCAGCAGUAGGGAAUCUUCGGCAAUGGGGGCAACCCUGACCGAGCAACGCCGCGUGAGUGAAGAAGGUUUUCGGAUCGUAAAGCUCUGUUGUAAGUCAAGAACGAGUGUGAGAGUGGAAAGUUCACACUGUGACGGUAGCUUACCAGAAAGGGACGGCUAACUACGUGCCAGCAGCCGCGGUAAUACGUAGGUCCCGAGCGUUGUCCGGAUUUAUUGGGCGUAAAGCGAGCGCAGGCGGUUUGAUAAGUCUGAAGUUAAAGGCUGUGGCUCAACCAUAGUUCGCUUUGGAAACUGUCAAACUUGAGUGCAGAAGGGGAGAGUGGAAUUCCAUGUGUAGCGGUGAAAUGCGUAGAUAUAUGGAGGAACACCGGUGGCGAAAGCGGCUCUCUGGUCUGUAACUGACGCUGAGGCUCGAAAGCGUGGGGAGCGAACAGGAUUAGAUACCCUGGUAGUCCACGCCGUAAACGAUGAGUGCUAGGUGUUGGAUCCUUUCCGGGAUUCAGUGCCGCAGCUAACGCAUUAAGCACUCCGCCUGGGGAGUACGACCGCAAGGUUGAAACUCAAAGGAAUUGACGGGGGCCCGCACAAGCGGUGGAGCAUGUGGUUUAAUUCGAAGCAACGCGAAGAACCUUACCAGGUCUUGACAUCCCGAUGCUAUUUCUAGAGGUAGAAAGUUACUUCGGUACAUCGGUGACAGGUGGUGCAUGGUUGUCGUCAGCUCGUGUCGUGAGAUGUUGGGUUAAGUCCCGCAACGAGCGCAACCCCUAUUGUUAGUUGCCAUCAUUCAGUUGGGCACUCUAGCGAGACUGCCGGUAAUAAACCGGAGGAAGGUGGGGAUGACGUCAAAUCAUCAUGCCCCUUAUGACCUGGGCUACACACGUGCUACAAUGGUUGGUACAACGAGUUGCGAGUCGGUGACGGCAAGCUAAUCUCUUAAAGCCAAUCUCAGUUCGGAUUGUAGGCUGCAACUCGCCUACAUGAAGUCGGAAUCGCUAGUAAUCGCGGAUCAGCACGCCGCGGUGAAUACGUUCCCGGGCCU